GGGCUGUUGGUCUAGCGGUAUGAUUCUCGCUUUGGGUUAACACUGUUCUGCGAGAGGUCCCGGGUUCAAUCCCCGGACAGCCCC